rnacentral:misc_RNA from 1 species
GAAGCCCACGGGCUUGGGGAUCGGAAUCAACACCUCGCGAUUGACGGCGAAUAUAGGACAGUGGCGACCGAUGACGUCUUGCCAGACGGUCCUCGACCCGUGGUACUGUCCGGCCUUGCUGACGGGGACGAUGUCGCCAGGGCGGUAAGCGAGAGAUAUGGAGAACAGCAAGGAGAGGCAGAGGAGGAAGCCGGGGACUGAUCCAUGGGGGGCGCUGCGAUCGCCG